UCGCACUCUGCAUAUUGAGCUUCUUCAUAUAUUAUAUCGAAGAUUGCUAUAAGCUAGGGUUUGCGUAUAGAAAUGCUGUUAAAUCAGAAGCGGCCAGACAACCGUAGAGAUGGAUCCACAGAUGAAACGCUUUCUUUUGCUUUUUGUCUACUAAAUCCAUCUUACAUUU